UACGUAGGGGCAAGCGUUGUCCGGAUUUAUUGGGCGUAAAGAGCGUGUAGGCGGUUUGGUAGGUCCGUUGUGAAAACUCGAGGCUCAACCUCGAGACGCCGGCGGAAACCAUCAGGCUAGAGUCCGGAAGAGGAGAGUGGAAUUCCUGGUGUAGCGGUGAAAUGCGCAGAUAUCAGGAAGAACACCCGUGGCUAAGGCGGCUCUCUAGUACGGGUACUG
rnacentral:rRNA from 1 species